UCGCCAGAGUACUACGAGCAACAGCUUAAAACUCAAAGGACUUGGCGGUGUCCUAAAUCCACCCAGAGGAGCCUGUUCUAUAAUCGAUACUCCACGUUUUACCUUACCAUUCUUUGCCAUCAGCCUAUAUACCACCGUCACCAGCUUACCUUGUGAAAGAUUACUAGUUAGCAAAAAUGAUUUUAUCAAAUACGACAGGUCAAGGUGUAGCAUAUAGAAUGGACAGAAAUGGGCUACAUUUUCUUAAAAAGAAUAAUACGACCAAUAUUAUGAAAUUAAUAUUAAAAGGCGGAUUUGACAGUAAGAUUAAAUAAUUAUGCUAAUCUUAAACUGGCCCUAGGACGCGC
rnacentral:rRNA from 1 species